rnacentral:tRNA from 1 species
GUCUUUCUAGUAUUAACUCUAGUAUAUGUGACUUCCAAUCACUCGGUCUUGGUUCAAGUCCAAGGAAAGAUA